UGACCAUACUGCCUCUUAUGAAAAACAUUGUGAUAAAAAUGAUUUUCUUUAUGUAUUAUAUUUUAGUUUCUGGGAAGAGAAUUUUGAAGACCAAGAAAAUGGAUUGAUGACUUCUUGCUUAAGUUCUUCACAAAGACAGGAAUGGCUGUUUGGAGAGCCAAGUUGUUCAGCAAUCACCCUUUUGCUGUUAUUAGCCCUGGGUACAUUGUCAUUCAGACAAUAUGGAAAAUUGUGUAUAAUUGGACAGAUUCUCUCUUGGGCCACACAGAUAGGAUGGAACAGUCCUGGGGUGUAUUCCUGAGCUGUUGUUUGAGAAAGCUGAAGAAAGUCUUGAUAUGUUGGCACCUGAUAACAUUUGAUGAAUUGAGACUGAAAAAGUACAGCUUUGAGGAGUUGAUGAUUUUAAUAGGAAUAGAGACCAGACCUCUGAUUUCAUUAGCAUCAGGAACACCUAUGGCCUCAGUGUUCUUCCUUAAUCCACAUGGAUGACUGGUUAGUCCACAGUGACGAAGAAGAUGAGUAAUGCAGCUAUAUGUUAUCUGAUAUUUGUACUCUUGGAUUUCACACUUUGCUGUAAGCUUGAGCCCUGUGAACAAACAUAUUAGAUGAUACCCUGGGACCACCUAACUGGAUUACUGUUGGAUAAUCUUUAUAGAGAAGAAUAAAAUAUCAUUUCCUGUUGAACUAAAUUUAAUG
rnacentral:lncRNA from 1 species